UACGGAGGGUGCAAGCGUUAUCCGGAUUCACUGGGUUUAAAGGGUGCGUAGGUGGGCAGGUAAGUCAGUGGUGAAAUCCCCGAGCUUAACUUGGGAACUGCCAUUGAUACUAUCAGUCUUGAAUACCGUGGAGGUCAGCGGAAUAUGUCAUGUAGCGGUGAAAUGCUUAGAUAUGACAUAGAACACCAAUUGCGAAGGCAGCUGGCUACACGAAUAUUGACACUGAGGCACGAAAGCGUGGGGAUCAAACAGG
rnacentral:rRNA from 1 species